GACAAACGCUGGCGGCGUGCUUUAAACAUGCAAGUCGAACGGAGGUUAGGUGUUCCACUAAAUAAUUCUAUAUGGGUUAUUUAGUGGAAUGCUUACCCUUAGUGGCGGACGGGUGAGUAACGCGUGAGUAAUCUACCUCUAUCUGGGGGACAACAGUUGGAAACGACUGCUAAUACCGCAUAUGACCACAGGUACACAAGUACUAGGGGUGAAAGAUUUUAUCGAAUAGAGAUGAGCUCGCGUAACAUUAGUUAGUUGGUGAGGUAACGGCCCACCAAGACGAUGAUGUUUAGCCGAUCUGAGAGGAUGAUCGGCCACACUGGAACUGAGAUACGGUCCAG
rnacentral:rRNA from 1 species